rnacentral:rRNA from 1 species
AACGAACGCUGGCGGCAUGCCUAACACAUGCAAGUCGAACGAGACCUUCGGGUCUAGUGGCGCACGGGUGCGUAACGCGUGGGAAUCUGCCCUUGGGUUCGGGAUAACAGUUGGAAACGACUGCUAAUACCGAAUGAUGUCUUCGGACCAAAGAUUUAUCGCCCAGGGAUGAGCCCGCGUCGGAUUAGCUAGUUGGUGAGGUAAAGGCUCACCAAGGCGUCGAUCCGUAGCUGGUCUGAGAGGAUGAUCAGCCACACUGGGACUGAGACACGGCCCAGACUCCUACGGGAGGCAGCAGUGGGGAACAUUGGACAAUGGGCGAAAGCCUGAUCCAGCAAUGCCGCGUGAGUGAUGAAGGCCUUAGGGUUGUAAAGCUCUUUUACCCGGGAUGGUAAUGACAGCACCGGGAGAAUAAGCCCCGGCUAACUCCGUGCCAGCCGCCGCCGUAACAC